UACGUAGGGUGCAAGCGUUAAUCGGAAUUACUGGGCGUAAAGCGUGCGCAGGCGGUUCUUUAAGACAGAUGUGAAAUCCCCGGGCUCAACCUGGGAACUGCAUUUGUGACUGUAGAGCUGGAGUGCGGCAGAGGGGGGUGGAAUUCCGCGUGUAGCAGUGAAAUGCGUAGAUAUCAGGAGGAACACCGGUGGCGAAGGCGCACAUCUGGCCCAAUACUGACGCUAAAGCGCGAAAGCUAGGGGAGCAAACGGG
rnacentral:rRNA from 1 species